UACGAAGGGUGCAAACGUUGCUCGGAAUUAUUGGGCGUAAAGCGCACGUAGGCGGCUUAGCAAGUCGGACGUGAAAUCCCACGGCUCAACCAUGGAAGUGCUUUCGAAACUGCUGAGCUUGAGUACGAAAGAGGAUCGCGGAAUUCCCGGUGUAGAGGUGAAAUUCGUAGAUAUCGGGAGGAACACCAGUGGCGAAGGCGGCGAUCUGGGUCGAUACUGACGCUGAGGUGCGAAAGCGUGGGGAGCAAACAGG
rnacentral:rRNA from 1 species